GACGUAGGGCGCGAGCGUUGUCCGGAUUUAUUGGGCGUAAAGAGCUCGUAGGCGGCUUGUCGCGUCGUCCGUGAAAACUUGGGGCUCAACCCCAAGCUUGCGGUCGAUACGGGCAGGUUCGAGUUCGGUAGGGGAGACUGGAAUUCCUGGUGUAGCGGUGAAAUGCGCAGAUAUCAGGAGGAACACCGGUGGCGAAGGCGGGUCUCUGGGCCGAUACUGACGCUGAGGAGCGAAAGCGUGGGGAGCGAACAGG
rnacentral:rRNA from 1 species